GACGAACGCUGGCGGCGUGCCUAAUACAUGCAAGUCGAACGCACUCUCGUUUAGAUUGAAGGAGCUUGCUCCUGAUUGAUAAACAUUUGAGUGAGUGGCGGACGGGUGAGUAACACGUGGGUAACCUGCCCUAAAGUGGGGGAUAACAUUUGGAAACAGAUGCUAAUACCGCAUAAAACCUAACACCGCAUGGUGUAGGGUUGAAAGAUGGUUUCGGCUAUCACUUUAGGAUGGACCCGCGGUGCAUUAGUUAGUUGGUGAGGUAAAGGCUCACCAAGACCGUGAUGCAUAGCCGACCUGAGAGGGUAAUCGGCCACACUGGGACUGAGACACGGCCCAGACUCCUACGGGAGGCAGCAGUAGGGAAUCUUCCACAAUGGACGAAAGUCUGAUGGAGCAACGCCGCGUGAGUGAAGAAGGUUUUCGGAUCGUAAAACUCUGUUGUUGGAGAAGAAUGUAUCUGAUAGUAACUGAUCAGGUAGUGACGGUAUCCAACCAGAAA
rnacentral:rRNA from 1 species